rnacentral:rRNA from 1 species
GAGCACGUAGGGGGUUUGUAAGUCAGAUGUGAAAGCCUUCUGUUCAACGGGAGAAUUGCAUCUGAAACUGCUAAUCUUGAGUAUAGGAGGGGAGAAUGGAACUUCUGGUGGAGCGGUGAAAUGCGUAGAUAUCAGAAGGAACGCCGGCGGCGAAAGCGAUUCUCUGGCCUAUUACUGACACUCAGUGUGCGAAAGCUAGGGGAGCAAACGGGAUAGAUACCCCGUAGCAGCUUAU